CCAGAGGGAGGAUGUGGGCAAGGGUUUUAUGGUGAGAUAGAUGAAAAUGAGGUCUAGUGAACAGGUUGGAGUUAGACGAACCAAGUGUGCAGACUGGGUUGGAGUAGGAAAUCAGCAAGAUAAUGUUGGAUGGGGAGUGCUGUUCCAGUGCCCCAAAGCUGAUGGUAAAGAAUGUAUUUCCACUUUGGUUCAGCUGGUUAUUAUAGCAAUCAAAAGUCAUUUAAAAGUUAUAAUAGCAUGAAAUUACAGAAUUCUGCAUCUGAAGGACCUAUUCUGCCGCAGAUUAUGAUCAAGGCAUCCAGUAUAGAUGGUUGGCAUUCCUAUUUUUAAAACUCCAGGGAGAGAAAUUCAGUAACUCGUUUUGGUAGUCUGUAAUCACAUGCAGUCAUCCUAACAGUCAAGAAGUGUUUCCUUAAGCCUCUUCCUAAAAUUAUGGCAAAUUACUCAUGAUGACCCCUUCUAUUCUUUUAGUAGCCUUCUUUUCCAAGUUACAGUAGCUCUAAUUCUUUUACCCUUCUGUCCUUAAAAUCUAUUUUCCAGUCCUGUAACCAUUUUGAGGCUCUUCAGUGGAUGCUCUUUAGUUUGUACACCUCCCUUAUGUGUGGUAAACAAAAUAGGGUAAGGCAUGCUAAUGCACAGAGAGGAAUUUAUUUCGCAACUCUUGCCUACCACUGUUUUAUUAACAGUGAUAUGUGUCACCCACUAUCUCACUUGUUCAGUUUGUGGUUCACUACGAUAGUCUGGCCUUUUACUUUUCUUAACUGGCAGGUCCUCAUCCUAUCUUAUGUAGUUUGUGUUUGCUUCUGGAGGGUACUAACUAUCCUGAAUUUUGUACCACUGAACUUCAUCCUGUGUAGUUCUUUCUUUCAAGUUAGAGGUUUUACAACUGGAUUGAAAAUAAAUUCCUAAAGGCAGUACCAAGGAGCAAAUAAUCACAGUCCCCAUUAUAUUGUAAUCCCUGAUACCAUGUAUCCAUUUUUGACAUAAAAAGUACAGCAACUCCAAAACUCGACAGUUGAUGCCUGACACUUUCUAAUGUUUGGUGAAAUUCUUAACCACAAAAUUCAAGGCAUGAAUAAUGUUUGAUGGUGAGUCCUAUUGGUUAAUAUUAGUCCACAAAGUACUAGAUUUGCUGCUGGAAAUCUAUUCCAAGAAAGUAAGACCUACAAUCAGAUGAGAUUUAAAAUUAAUUAGUUCAGUCAACUGGAGAGAAGUAUGACCAGGUAAAGACAGCAGGGAAAUGUUGUUUGAAGUCAUUUGAAUAAAGAGCUCGAGUGACUAGUUUUGGUGGAUAGAAGAAGAUGAUCAUUUCAGUGUGUGAAAUUGUCUUACGUAGGCCAAAUCCAGGGAUAGAGCUGAGCCCGAAGUGUGUGUCUCAACCCAGUGCCAGCAGAUCUUUAGACAGGCCAGUCCCGACUUUGGCUAGGGGCUGAAAUGCAGAAGCAGUAACUCUCACACAGGUGGGGUAGCAUGUUUGCUGCUGGGAUGUGAAGUGCCUGCAGAGUUUCAGGUAUCGUCACCACCCAUUGCUAUAGGUUACGAUCGACCUUGGCCCCCACGUCUUCCCUCUCCCAGGUCCCUCUGGCUAUCAGUGGGGCCCAAAGAGUCCCGUCGUGGAGCAAGGUUUUCCUGCUGUACUGAGAGCUCUCUAGAAACUGGGUAUGCAGUCUGCCGUAACUAGUGUUUUCUUUAUGCUUUUUGGGUGGAAUGUGAUUAGGGAAUGAUCUUCCAACACCAACCUGCUUGGGCUCAGCGUGCCACCUUACUGAGGGAACUGCUUAUGCGCAUGUGGGCGACAUCUGAAUGGCACAUCUGAAAUGGGGAGUCAAACUGAAUGAAUCAUUACCAAUCUCAUGAGCUACAAUAGCAGGCAUACUCCAUCAUCUUCGAGAAAAGGAGGCAAAGAAAAGAGCGGAGCCAUGGCCCGAGGGAAGACGGUAUCCUGGAAAACACCGAAUUAAAUGGAAGUACUGAAGACGGACGACCCAGCCACGCAUAUCUAGGUCUUCCUGGACAAGCUACCCCCAUAGCUGCUGUUAAGAUGGCUUGCUGAUGUGAAGUACGUGAGGCAACAUAAAUGGGAUCCAACUGAUCGGCGAGAAAUCCAUCCCUCAAGUGCAUACGCUGCUUUUCACCUCGAGAAUUGAUAGGUAUAACUCCAGGAUCCACAAUGACAACAACACCAACAAUCAGAUAAUGCUCUUCCAGAACCACAUUUGUCACCAGAGCGACCAAGUCCAGCGCUUCCUGUUCUGAGCCUUCUAAUUCCACUACCACCACCAGCAGAUCAUGCGAGUGUCUACGGUGCACUAAUAAAAUGAAGAAACAUCACCUCAAGGUUUGGGUACAUAAUGAAUCAGAACAUGGAAAAAAUUAGCUCUGGAACAUAAAAAAAACACUACAUACCUACUUACCAUAAAAAUCUGGCUACCCUGGUA